rnacentral:rRNA from 1 species
AUUGAACGCUGGCGGAAUGCUUUACACAUGCAAGUCGAACGGCAGCACGGACUUCGGUCUGGUGGCGAGUGGCGAACGGGUGAGUAAUGUAUCGGAACGUGCCCAGUCGUGGGGGAUAACGUAGUGAAAAUUACGCUAAUACCGCAUACGAUCUAUGGAUGAAAGCGGGGGAUCGCAAGACCUCGCGCGAUUGGAGCGGCCGAUAUCAGAUUAGGUAGUUGGUGGGGUAAAGGCCCACCAAGCCAACGAUCUGUAGCUGGUCUGAGAGGACGACCAGCCACACUGGAACUGAGACACGGUCCAGACUCCUACGGGAGGCAGCAGUGGGGAAUUUUGGACAAUGGGCGAAAGCCUGAUCCAGCCAUUUCGUGUGCAGGAUGAAGGCCCUCGGGUUGUAAACUGCUUUUGUACAGAACGAAAAGGUUUCUACUAAUACUAGGAGCUCAUGACGGUACUGUAAGAAUAAGCACCGGCUGACUACGUGCCAGCAGCCGCCGUAA